CCUGGAAACAGAUGCUAAUACCGGAUAACAACAGAUGAUGCCUAUCAACUGUUUAAAAGAUGGUUCUGCUAUCACUCUUGGAUGGACCUGCGGUGCAUUAGCUAGUUGGUAGGGUAACGGCCUACCAAGGCGAUGAUGCAUAGCCGAGUUGAGAGACUGAUCGGCCACAUUGGGACUGAGACACGGCCCAAACUCCUACGGGAGGCAGCAGGA
rnacentral:rRNA from 1 species